rnacentral:rRNA from 1 species
GACGAACGCUGGCGGCGUGCUUAACACAUGCAAGUCGAACGGAAAGGUCCUGCUUUUGUGGGGUGCUCGAGUGGCGAACGGGUGAGUAACACGUGAGUAACCUGCCCUUGACGUUGGGAUAACUUCAGGAAACUGGGGCUAAUACCGGAUAGGAGCUCCUGCUGUAUGGUGGGGGCUGGACAGUUUCGGCGGUUGGGGAUGGACUCGCGGCUUAUCAGCUUGUUGGUUGGGUAGUGGCUUACCAAGGCUUUGACGGGUAGCCGGCCUGAGAGGGUGACCGGCCACAUUGGAACUGAGAUACGGCCCAGACUCCUACGGGAGGCAGCAGUGGAGAAUAUUGCACAGUGGGCGGAAGCCUGAUGCAGCAACGCCGCGUGCGGGAUGACGGCCUUCGGGUUGUAAACCGCUUUCGCCUGUGACGAAGCGUGAGUGACGGUAAUGGGUGAAGAAGCACCGGCUAACUACGUG